rnacentral:misc_RNA from 1 species
AACGCACCUUGCGCUCUUUGGUAUUCCGAAGAGCAUGCCUGUUUGAGUGUCAUUAAAUUCUCAACUCCUCAGAGGUUGUCACAGACCUCUGUUGAGCUUGGAUGUGAGGGUUUUGCCGGCUAUCUCAGUCGGCUCCCUUGAAAUGCAUUAGCGCAGCUUCUGCGAGUCGCUUCAGGUGUGAUAAUUUAUCUACGCUUUUAGUGUCGCGCAUGAAUGAAGCUAUGUGCUUCGAAUCGUCUUUUCGAAGACAAUUUUUUUGAACUUGGCCUCAAAUCAGGUAGGACUACCCGCUGAACUUAA